UUACUCUUUCUAGUUCUCUUUGUUUGUUAGGGUUAUUUCCCAUUUCUCAAUGACAGAAGUUAUCACGUGGCUACAUCCUCUUCAUGUAGUAGCAAGGGUGUGAGUGAGUGAUAAUUGCUAACUAUUUACUUUUCAGAAUCGGGAAAACCAAAAUGCCAAGUUGUUUAACACAACAUUUCAUAUGCAGUCAACAAAUCAACAAAUUUUUCAAACCUCCCACUGCCGUCGCCGACGAUGACGAUGAUUUGCUCAACUGGAACUGGGAGAACAACCAACACCCUAUUAUCAACACUUACACCCGAAUUCAUCGAAACCCUAAUCCAAUUCCUUCACCUCACACCAUAAUAUAAAAACCACUAGUAGUCAAGAACAAGAAGAGAAGCUACGUUCAGUUCCAUUUGGAAUUAGGUCAAUCCGGUUUUUAUUACGCGUGCACUCCACUUGUGCUAUUGAGUUUACUCCCGGAGAUGUCGAAGACGAGAAAUUACACGCUCAAUUUCACUAAAUUUAUGCGCAAGGAAUCCAAUUUAGAGAUUGGAAUAAUGAAAGGGUUGUUUAUUAUGAUAAAUGUUGGAUAAUGAUCCAUCUUUCCACAGAAUAAACAAGGUUCAUGAAGUUGUGAAGAUGAUGGGAAGUGGAUGGAUAACGAAUCAACAUUGUAAGGUGGAUAAUGUUAAACAUCACCUCAAAAAACUUACUUGCAAUCUUAUUCUAGUAACAGGUGAAAUUUGAGACAGGUUCUUAUUCUAGUAACAGAAUUUGUAAUCUUCAAUCUUUAUUCAAAGGAAAAUCUAGUCAUUAUACAACAGGAACUUCUGUAAUAUCUUGUGAUACGUUAUCCGAAGAAAAGCCUAAAGAGAAUUCUGUUUCUGAUAUGUUGGUUGAUUCAUUUGGAAGGAUUCAUACUUACUUGAGAAUAUCAUUAACAGAGAGAUGUAA